rnacentral:siRNA from 1 species
UUUGGUUAUAUUUGUGGACCUA